GACGGAGGGGCCGAGCGUUAGGCGGAAUCACUGGGCUUAAAGCGUGUGUAGGCGGGUCGUUAAGUGCCUUGUGAAAUCCCACAGCUCACCUGUGGAACUGCUUGGCAUACUGGCGGUCUUGAGCCACUUAGGGGCAACCGGAACAAACGGUGGAGCGGUGAAAUGCGUAGAUAUCGUUUGGAACGCCAAUGGUGAAAACAGGUUGCUGGGAGUGUGCUGACGCUGAGACACGAAAGCCAGGGGAGCAAACGGG
rnacentral:rRNA from 1 species